UUCGAUCCUGAUCCGAAUAAGCUUGUGAAUAAUUAAUUGCGUGUGUUUGGAUUAUGUGAGCAAAAGAAGCCAACCCGACUGGGCUCUCGAACGGUGCUACCCUCUGGAUGUGCAGUCAAUCAACAUUUCAUCACAUUUGUUGCGUCGGUGGCAUAAAUGCGUCAUCACGGCUGCUGGAAGACAAGCAAACAGGCAGCUUAUCUGCCUCAGAUUGUAGGGUGGAAUGUGGACGUGGAACAGUGUGAGAUGUAAAAGGACACGUGGAAAGCUAUGUGUUUGUGUUAUUGGGUCAAACAGUGAAUCUGUACUCAGCUAUUUGCGGGAAAAUUUACAUGACAACAGUGCUUGAAAUAUUAGACAAAUAUCCUUCAGUUGACCUGCGUCAAUUAUGGCAAAAACAGUGAAGCAACUGCGCUACAUGGUUUGUGCGUACUGGGAGCACCAUCCGUUGCGAUGAAGGUGGACAUCGUCAGGUACGUUGAGUUCGCCGUAUACGCCGGUAUUUAUAAUGUCGUUGCACUUCUGGAGAACCAUGAAAGCAUUGAACGAAAGCCUGGUUUUGGUCGUCCGACGGUGCUACGCUAUCGUAAGCAGCUGAAGCUGAAGCAGAAGACGGAGGGAAAGGUGCAUUCAUCGCUCCGAGCUCUGGACUGAGAGGUCGGAUCAACGGGCCAGACAUUGAAAAAAUACAUAGCGGAGAAAGUGUUGGAAAAGAAAGCUGUGGCUCAGAAACAAAAGCUGAAAGUGAUGGAGAAUGAAAUUUUUCUGGCGAACAUCGCGCUCGUCAUGGACGACGAGACGUAUUUAACGCAGGAUGGCAACGACUGGCAGGGAAAUAGAUACUUUACGUUCUUCAUCAAGGAGGUAAGUUCCAACGUGAAGUACAUCUCCAGGUGGUUCUGUGGCUAACCAUCAGCGAAAAAGGCAUGACAAGGCCGCGCUUCUUCCCUUCGGGACAUGUGUGGAACGGGAAGAUUUACAGUUCCAGACGGAAGUUCCCUCAUUCAUCUAAAAAUAUCUUCCGGACAAGGAUGUGGUAUUUUAGCCGGACCUGUCCUCCGCCCAUUACGUGAAGAAGUCACUGGAGGAGAUGAACCGCUUGAAGAUAGAUGUUCUCCGAACGUCCCCUAGCUGCGUCUCAUCGAUAAUUUUUGGACAAACCUGAACCGAAGGGUCUACUCCAACAAAUUCGUGGUGAAAACAGAGGAUAAAUAAAGCUAAGAAAGAAAUAAAAAACAUGACAACAAUUACUGUAGAAUCCCGAUUAUCCGCGAAAUAGUCUGGCAAGGCCACUACGCAUAAUAUUCUGAACUUU